rnacentral:rRNA from 1 species
CUACGUGCCAGCAGCCGCGGUAAUACGUAGGUGGCAAGCGUUGUCCGGAAUUAUUGGGCGUAAAGCGCGCGCAGGCGGAUCAGUCAGUCUGCCUUAAAAGUUCGGGGCUUAACCCCGUGAUGGGAUGGAAACUGCUGAUCUAGAGUAUCGGAGAGGAAAGUGGAAUUCCUAGUGUAGCGGUGAAAUGCGUAGAUAUUAGGAAGAACACCAGUGGCGAAGGCGACUUUCUGGACGAAAACUGACGCUGAGGCGCGAAAGCCAGGGGAGCGAACGGGAUUAGAUACCCCGGUAGUCCUGGCCGUAAACGAUGGGUACUAGGUGUAGGAGGUAUCGACCCCUUCUGUGCCGGAGUUAACGCAAUAAGUACCCCGCCUGGGGAGUACGACCGCAAGGUUGAAACUCAAAGGAAUUGACGGGGGCCCGCACAAGCGGUGGAGUAUGUGGUUUAAUUCGACGCAACGCGAAGAACCUUACCAGGUCUUGACAUUGAUGGACAGAACUAGAGAUAG